rnacentral:rRNA from 1 species
GUCUACGGCCAUGCCAUCCUGAACACGCCCGAUUUCGUCUGAUCUCAGAAGCUAAGCAGGGGCAGGCCUGGGUAGUAGUUGGAUGGGAGACCACCUAGGAAGACCAGGUACUGUAGGCG